GAGCAGUAGGGAAAAGCUCCCCCAGGAACCAUUUUAAGGGGGAAGGUGGGUGGCAGAGCACAUCUGGUGUCUGCCACUCCAAGAGCUGGUGGCAGGUGAUGCCCCAUCUCUGAGCAGCCAUUUUAGAUACAGGCCAGCAGAGCUGAAGGCAGCAAUUUUGCUGCCUGACACCAUGGAAAGAACAUCUCCUGGUGGAGCUGCUGCUCCUGUAACAACUAGGAGAAACUGGAAGUUUCCAAAACAGUGUGAAUCAGGCUGUUGGAAGGCUAAAAGACUGCUUCUUCUCUGAAUUGGAGAAAUGGUAUCAUCACAUCCAGCAGAGCAGGGUUUUGCUUGUAGCUGAAUCCAGUCACUGACUACAGUGACAAAAGUAAGUUGCUUGCUCAUUUUACUUCUAUAAACAAUGCAGGACGCACUCAGCCAAGCAAGAAUGAAUCAGAUUCAGUUUCCUCUGGAAAUUUUCAAUACAAUCAUUUGCUAAAUUCCAAAUCAGUUUAUGCUUGUGGAAACCUACAUAAGGCAGAGUUCAACAAGAAGUCAUUAGGGUCAUACAGGUACAACUGCAGGCCCAGGUUCUUCACUGGAACUUUUAUAAUGAUGAUGUCCAGAGAAGGAAAACAAAAAUCCCCAGUCUUGCUUUCAGGCAUCAGCUCAAGUGAAAGUGAGCAAAUUAAAGCCACCUUUUAUUUGUAAACUGAGUGUAAUUCAUUUGGACAUGAAUGAAAGACAGCAAACAUGUAACCCACUUUCAAAAGUAAAAUGACAGUUUAUUCAUGUAUUUUGGGGUUUGGAUAUUUUUUAUGCACCUGCUGAUAGAAAAGUAAAUACAACGUGAUUUGUGUGAUGGCAGCACAGGCUCCUGCUGAGAGCAGGGUCCUAUGAGUCAGGCAUUAUGGAAACACAGAGUAAGUCCCUUCCCAGAAGGGCUUAAAAUCUAAAUAGGCAAGAAAGACAUGUUGUGGGAGAAAGGCCAUUUCUUAGCCCCAUUUUACAUAAUGGAUAAUUGAGAGAUUAGGUGAAGUCACACAGCGAUUUUAGGAUACAGCUGGGAAAUGAACGCAGCUCAUCCAAAUCCAAGUCCAGUGCCUCAGCUAUAUAACCAUCCUUCCUCCCUGUUGCUGUCCCAUUUCCCAUUCAUGCUGUUAGUAUGCACUCUGUGCCAUUAUACUAUUAUCAUCAACACCAUCCAGAAUAAGACAUACAUGGCAAACAACAAUAAGCUCUUCUGGAGAAGCUCAAAUGUAGCCUGCUACCAUUUCACAUGAGCUAUAAUCAUAUUGCAUUGAAAGCAAUUUCUAUAUUUUAUUAUUUGCACAGUGCCCAUGGCUGUAGCACCUGGAGCACAUCACAUUCAAUUUGAAAGCAAACCUAUCUAACAGAUACCAGUCACCAUAAUGGAUGAUGCAAAUAAAAGCGUAUGCUGAAGCCAAGCCGUGCUGUGAUGAGACUUUUUGAAAGGCUUAGUGAAAAGUAACACUAAAUCAUGUCCUGAAUAACCACCAUCUCUAAGAAAUACAAGACACAGAAAAAAAUACUUGUCCCUUUGAGUGCCCAGCCCCUGUCCCCAUUCUGAACUGAGCUUUACCAGAAUCAUUAUUUGAAAUUUCCAAGAGCUUCUAUUCUUGUUGUUAACUCCACAUUCCUGCUUUCAUUUAGAGCCUUUUUUAAACAGGAGCAGUGAUAUCUGAACAGGUGCACUCUCUGCAAGGAGGAAUUAUUUAGUAAUUCCUAAAGAAUUGUUAGAACAAGCUGGAGAUUACAGUCACCUUUAUCAGAAGAACUGGAACUUACAUAAAGGGAUUCUUGCUGUUCUGAACUCUGUAAGGACAUCUCUGAGAACAAGCCCUAGGGAAAAAAUGUGAGGCUCAUGGAGUUUUGUCAAAAUUGGCGGAGACCAGAAUAACAUAAAGCACUUUUUAAUAUAUAUUUUACUGUCCCAAACUCUUACACAUUGAAAACUAUUUUAUUGUACAAUAAUACAAUUAUACAUGCACAUGUUUUUGCCUCUGCUUCACGCUAAUUGCUACUGAGUGAUCAGACACAGCAGUUAAUGCCCUG